UGGCGAACGGGUGAGUAAUGUAUCGGAACGUGCCCAGUUGUGGGGGAUAACUGCUCGAAAGAGCAGCUAAUACCGCAUACGACCUGAGGGUGAAAGCGGGGGAUCGCAAGACCUCGCGCAAUUGGAGCGGCCGAUAUCAGAUUAGGUAGUUGGUGGGGUAAAGGCUCACCAAGCCGACGAUCCGUAGCUGGUCUGAGAGGACGACCAGCCACACUGGGACUGAGACACGGCCCAGACUCCUACGGGAGGCAGCAGUGGGGAAUUUUGGACAAUGGGCGCAAGCCUGAUCCAGCCAUGCCGCGUGCGGGAAGAAGGCCUUCGGGUUGUAAACCGCUUUUGUCAGGGAAGAAAAGGCUCCUGUUAAUACCGGGGGCUCAUGACGGUACCUGAAGAAUAAGCACCGGCUAACUACGUGCCAGCAGCCGCGGUAAUACGUAGGGUGCAAGCGUUAAUCGGAAUUACUG
rnacentral:rRNA from 1 species